GAGUUGCGAACGGGUGAGUAACGCGUAGGUAACCUGCCUGGUAGCGGGGGAUAACUAUUGGAAACGAUAGCUAAUACCGCAUAACAGUAGAUAUUGCAUGAUAUCUGCUUGAAAGGUGCAAUUGCAUCACUACCAGAUGGACCUGCGUUGUAUUAGCUAGUUGGUGAGGUAACGGCUCACCAAGGCGACGAUACAUAGCCGACCUGAGAGGGUGAUCGGCCACACUGGGACUGAGACACGGCCCAGACUCC
rnacentral:rRNA from 1 species